rnacentral:rRNA from 1 species
GCUGUCGCUAAAGGAUGGACCUGCGAUGCAUUAGCUAGUUGGUAAGGGUAACGGGCGUUUACCCAAGGCGAUGAUGCAUAGCCCGAGUUGAGAGACUGAUCGGGCCACAUUGGGACUGAGACACGGGCCCAAACUCCUACGGGAGGCAGCAGUAGGGGGAAUCUUCCACAAUGGACGAAAGUCUGAUGGAGCAAACGCCGCGUGAGUGAAGAAGGUUUUCGGAUCGUAAAAAGCUCUGUUGUUGGUGAAGAAGGAUAGAGGUAGUAACUGGCCCUUUAUUUGACGGUAAUCAACCCAGAAAGUCACGGGCUAACUACGUGCCCAGCAGCCGCGGGUAAAU